rnacentral:rRNA from 1 species
ACCCGCUGAAUUUAAGCAUAUCAGUAACGGCAGGAAGAGAAAAUAACAAUGAUUCCCUUAGUAACUGCGAGUGAAGUGGGAAAAGUCCAACGUUGAAAGCUACAUUUUUAACGAAAUGUUGCAUUGUAACGUAUAGACUCGUCAUCUACAUGAUUGCCAAUGUUAAAGUCGCAUAGAAUGGCGCACCAAAGAGGGUUAUAGUCCCGUAAAUGGCAUUGGUAACAAUUGUGGCUGUAUGACGAUGUCAAAGAGUCGGAUUGUUUGGGAAUGCAGUCUGAAGUGGGUGGUAAACUCCAUCCAAGACUAAAUAUGACUUUGAGACCGAUAGCGAACAAGUACCGUGAGGGAAAGUUGAAAAGUACUCUGAAAAGAGAGUGAAAAGUGCGUGAAACCGUUAAUGGGGAAGCGUACGGUAGAAUCAAAGUGUCGGAUUGUGUUUUGUAAUGUGUGGUGCAUAACAAUAAUGAUACGAUACGCGCUGGACUCAUUGUUGAAUGUGACUGGAUGCGUAUUUAGUUGGCAACAAUGUGUGUAUCAGUAGAUAUUUGCAUGUUGUUAAUGAAUUUGAGUUGUCUGUAGAGUUGACAAUUGGCAAUGACGGAUGUGUGAGAAGAUGUAAUGCAUUGUGUGUGGUUGCAAUGUAUUGAUUUUAUAAAUUGAUUGCGUUGUAAAGAACAUAAUGUAUGAUAUUUUCCAAUUGACUAUGGUCGCACACGUAUUUCAAGCGAGAUAUACUACUGUUCGACCCGUCUUGAAACACGGACCAAGGAGGCUAACUUGUAUGCGAGUUGAGGAGUGGAGAAACUCUGAGGCGUAACGAAAGUGAAAUGUGAGAUUCAUUGGUGUUGAACUAAUGACGUAUCACAGACCGAUUGGAAGAGAGACUACAAUCGAGUUGAAGCAUACUGGCUAGAACCCGAAAGAUGGUGAACUAUUCCUGAGGAGAGCGAAUUCAUUGGAAACAAUGAUGGAGGCUCGUAGCGAUUCUGACGUGCAAAUCGAUCGUCAAACUUGGGUAUAGGGGCGAAAGACUAAUCGAACCAUCUAGUAGCUGGUUCCCUCCGAAAUAUCCCUCAGGAUCGCCGGAGUUGGAAUAUCUACACAGUUUCAUCGGGUAGAGCGAAUGAUUAGAGGAAUUGGGGCUAUUUAUAGCCUGACCUAUUCUCAAACUGCAAACCGGUGAGAGAUGUGAUGUAUUACUUUUGUGAAUAUGUCACAGACCGUCGUGAAUGUGAGAGCUCCGAGUGGACCAUUUUUGGUAAGCAGAACUGGCGAUGCGGGAUGAACCGAGAGUUGAGUUAAAGUGCCAAAGUGGGGGCCAAUGGACACCACGAAAGGAGUUGGUAAAUGAAGACAAUGGGGCGGUGGUCCUGAAAGUAGACAUCCGCUAAGGAGUGUGCAACAACUCACCCAUCGAAUUUACUGGCCCUGAAAAUGGAUGGCGCUUAGCCCCCCACUGAUACUCAACCGUAGACGCUAGAAGUGUCGUUUACCGGUAGGAGGGUGCUAUGGUUGCAGAGAAGGCUAUAUGUGAAUGUAGCUGGAGCGGCCAUAGGUACAGAUCUUGGUUUUAGUAGCAGCGAAUAGAAGUGACAACCUUCUAGGCCGAAGUGGAGAAGGGUUCCUCGUGAACAGCAGUUGGUCGAGGGUUAGUCGGUCCUAAGCAGAAGCUCACACGCUGAGUAAUAGAAAACGUAAUGUGACAUUUGUAUUGUUUCGAUGAUAUAAAAUAGCAUUGUUUUAGUCUGCGAAAGGGAAUCAGGUUAAUAUUCCUGAACCAGGUGUGUCGGAUUAGUUGAUAGGUUUUAGGUUUGAAUGGGGUGACCCCCAAGGUGAUGAUAUCAAGUUGAAAUACUGUUGGCAAAGCGGUAACGCAAACAAACUCGAGAGCAUUGUUGACAGUUUCUAGAAAGAGUUAUCUUUUCUGUUUAACCAAUUGUUUGAGCUUGGAAUAGAGUCAUUCGGAGAUAGGGUUUAGGAAUUGGUAAGAGCGUCACAUUUUGGUGGCGUCCAGAACACUGUGAAUGAUCCAUGAAAAUCCGGGGGCGUGAUUGAUUAUCGUACCUGGCCGUACCGAGAUCCGCAUCAGGUCUCCAAGGUGAAUAGCCUCUGGCUCUAGAAUAAUGUGAGUAAGGGAAGUCGGCAAAAUCGAUUCGUAACUUUGGGAAAAGGAUUGGCUCUAAGGAUUGAGCUGAUUGGACUAUUUGUUCGUUGAUGUGUGUUGUGUCGGCACAUGUAUAGAGUUGUUUGUAACAGGAUGGCUUUAGUCAUGCUGUUGAUGUGAUAUGGCAACUUCCAGCAAAUAGUUUGAAAUGAUAUAAUGUAUUAACCUUGUGUUGGUAUAUUUAUAUUAUUUCCAUGCAAUCAGUUAAGAUCAAUCAACUUAGAACUGUCACUGACUAGGGGAAUCCGACUGUUUAAUUAAAACAAAGCAUUGCGAUGGCUGGAAACGGUGUUGACGCAAUGUGAAUUCUGCCCAGUGCUCUGAAUGUAAAAGUGAGGAGACGCAACCAAGCGCGGGUAAACGGCGGGAGUAACUAUGACUCUCUUAAGAUAGCCAAAUGCCUCGUCAUCUAAUUAGUGACGCGCAUGAAUGGAUCAACGAGAUUCCCACUGUCCCUACUUACCAUCUAGCGAACAAACAGUCAAGGGAACGGGCUUGACUAAGACAGCGGGGAAAGAAGACCCUGUUGAGCUUGACUCUAGUUUGAUAUUGUGAGGAAACAUGAGAGGUGUAGCUAUAGGUGGGAGAAAGUAUGCUGUUAAAGGUGUAUUUUCAACAAUGAAAUACCACCACUCUUAUCGUUUCUUCACUAAUUCGGUGAUGAAGAAAGUGCCCAGUUGUAUGGUGUGAUCAAUAUAUCACUUGUGUUGUAUGAUUAGUUAUGCUAAUUGUAUAUACCAAGGAUAGAUUAUAACCUGGCUGGUGUCAUGAAUUGUACGAAUUUAAAAGAGAUGGCUAUGUUUGGUUUGUGUGUGUGUUGAUUAUAUUAACACAUGUAUGAGACGGAUAUGGCUGGCUCUUGAGAGUGUGUCCUUUGAUCUGUUCUGAUUCCACCGUGAAUCAGGUAUUGACCGAUGACAGUAUCAAAUGGGGAGUUUGACUGGGGCGGUACAUUAAUUAAAAUGCAACGAGAGUGUCCUAAGGUAGGCUCAUCGUGGACAGAAACCACGAGUAGAGCAUAAGGGCAAAAGCCUGCUUGAUUUUGAUUUUCAGUACUAAUACAAACCACGAAAGUGUGGCCUAACGAUCCUUUAUGUUGACCUGAGAGUUUCAGGAUAGAGGUGUCAGAAAAGUUACCACAGGGAUAACUGGCCUGUGGCGGCCAAG